AUGCGCAAGCGCAGGCCGAGACGCCGCAGGUCGAGUACCGGGUGGCAAAGCAGCUGGCCCGGGCCGUGGAAGGUGGCCAGGCCACCGCGGCCUGUGACGCGCACCUCGGCGCCCAAGGCCCGUAGCCGCGCAGUUUCCUCGGGCGUCAGGCCGCCGCGCAGCCCGGCCGUAUACACGGGCCCCGCGGGCUCGCAGAGCAGGAGCGCGCCCGCAUCAGUCCCCGACGGGGCCUCAAUGCCUGGCUCGGCCUGCAGCCGCCGCAGCCAGCGGUCCUGCAGCUCCAGUAGCUCGGCGUACGGCACCCGACCCAGGCGCACCAGCCGAACGGCGGGUUGCGGCAUCGUGCCCACCGCUGCGUCCGCGGGGCCCCGCCCUCUCCCUGGGCCUGGGGGCGUGGCCUGAGGGGCGGGGACUCGGGGGCACACCCCGAGUCGCAGCUCCCAGGUGCGUGUUAAAAGCUGGAGGGGGGGAUGUGUGAUCCCAGGACCAAAAGCGCGGGGCCAGACUCAUCGGUUCAUUCAACAACCAGUAUUUAGUGCCUGCUGUGUUCUGCAGGCCCUGCCCUAGGCGCUUGAUACAGCGGUGCAUAGCGUAUGAGAAAGAUCUGUCCUGGCCCUUGAAAAGUCUGUCAGCUCCAAGUGCUGUGCCUAAUGGAUACAAAAUCUCUGUGGAUCAUGAGGCCACUAACCAGAGAAGGAAUGCAGGGCGGCUGUGAUUGCUCUCUGCUUGGUCCCUCUUCUGGAUAGGAAGGCAGCCCUUAUGAAGCGGAUCAAGCUGGUUGUUAUGUGGAGAACAGGCUGGAGGAAGGCAAGAGUGAAGGCAGAGAGGCCUAUUAAGAAGACAUUGUUGGCUGGGCAUGGUGGCUCAUGUAUGUAUAAUCCCAGCACUUUGGGAGGUGGAGGCGAGAGGAUCGCCUGAGCCCCGGCCUUCGAGACCAGCCUGGGCAACAUAGUGGAACCCCAUCUCUACAAAAAAUAAAGGUAAAAAAACAGCCAGGUGUGAUGGUGCAUGCCUGUGGUCCCAACUACUUGGGAAGCUGAGGCAAGCGGAUCUCUUGAGUUCAAGAGGUUGAGGCUGCAGUGAACUGUGUUCACACCACAGAACUAUAGCCUGGGGCAACAUAACAAGACCUUGUCUCAAAAAAAAGAUUGUUAUAGUCCAAGCGAGAGAUGACAUUGAGAAGUUGUGCUAAGUAUGGGUACUGUGUGUUCCAUAUACCUAACACUCCUUCUUCCAACCUUCAGGCCCCAGGGAAACACAUUCCCACAUAUCUUGCCCUACAUCCUCAAAACAAAAAAUCAUGUAUUUUACAUACAGUAAAAUGCUCACAUGUAAGUGCCUAGUUUGAGGAGCUUGCACAAGUGUAUACACCUCUGUAACCACCACCCACUCAAGCAUGGGUAGAGACCAUUUCCAUCAUUUCCACCACAUGACUGUGUCUAAAGUUCUGUGGGUUGUGCUGCUGUUCACACCAGAAACAGCCACUGCUCUCGAGUAAGGAAAGCAAGUGAGUGGCAGAAGCUCUUGGGUAAGAAAAGCACACAUCAAUUAAUCCUGUGAAGUCUUUUCUCUCACAUAACAUGAAUGCCUAAUGGGGUAUCAUUUUCCAGAAAAGCACUGUCCAUUUUCUUGCUUCUUUUUGUGUUCCGAUUUGUAGUUUUGGAGGAAUUCAGGAAUGGCUUACUAUUUGCAAUAGUUGCAUGUGGCAGCUCAUUAAUAUGAAACAAUAUUAAACAACUCAUACUACUCUAAUAUUGAGUGUAGGUAGGUCUAGUUGUAGACCUACAUAUACAUGGUAUUGAUUCUUUAUGGACUUAGCUACUGUGUUAAGGAAUGAUGAAAAUUAUUAUAUGAGUGGUAGUGAUUUAUGUGAUGAAAUAAAAAUAGAAUGUAUUAUAUGUAUUUACCAUUUUAUAAAUCUAUUUUAACAUAUAAAUAUAGUUUGUAUUGUGUAAUUAUGUGUUCUUAUAUUUGACCAUAAUAUAUAAAAUUAUGCUACUUUUAAAAUCUAAUGUUACUUUGAGAUUUUUAUUGACAAUCCCUGUUGCUACUGCCUUAGCAGAGCAAACUUUUUCCAAAUUGAAAUCAAUGACUAAAAAAAAAAAACCUCUAAAACUUACAGUGUCCCAAUAAAGGUUAUUUUGUUUUUGACCUUAUUGUCCAAAAGUUAUGAAAUAUAUAAUUAUUGAUGAACCAUAUAUUUCCUUUUACUCAUAUAUUCCUGUCCAUGAGCCGUUCCUUUCCAUGACAUCCAUUAAAUUCAGUCAUCUUUGAUAUUUUGCUUACUUUCAAUAAAAAGUACCAUAGAAGUUGGUGCAAGAUGGAAGACUAGAAGGUCCCACCAAUUGUCCUCCCUGCAGGAACAAGGAAUUCAACAACUAUCUACACAAAAAACCACCUUCACUAGAACCAAAAAUCAGGUGAGCACUCAAAAUACCUGGUUUUACUUCAUAUCAUGGAAAGAGAAACUGAAGAGGAUAGGAAAGACAGUCUUGAGUUGCUGAUGCCACCCCUUCCCCAUUGCCGCUGCAGAGAAAUCCAUGUGCUUUGGAGACAGCACAGCAAUUGUGAGACUUUACAUUGAAUUCAGUGCUGCCCUCUCACAGCAGAAAGCAAAACCAGGCUGGGCUCAGCUGACGUCUGCCUACGAAGGGAGCAUUCAGACUAACCCUAGCUAGUAGGGUAUCACCCAUCCCAGCAAUAGGAACGUGAGUUCCGGGAAGCCUCACCACCAUGGGCUGAAGUUCUCUGGAGCCUAAUAUAAACUUGAAAGGCAGUCUAGGCCACAAGGACUACAAAUCCUAGUGCUGAGCUGGGCUUGGGGAGCAUGACAUACUUAGACAUCAGGAAGGGCAGCUAAGGGACUGUUUGUACCACCCCACCCCACUGCCAGGCAGCAUAUACCCUGGCUCCAAGAGAGACCUCUUUCUCCUGCUUGAGGAGGGAAGAGUAAAGAGGACCAGCUCAGCCACAGCAGGAUAGAGCAUUGGUCAGAGUUGUGAGAUCCCCGUUCCAGGCCCUAGCUCCUGGAUGACAUUUCUAGACGCACCCUGGGCCAGAAGGGAACCUGCUGUCUUGAAGGGAAGGACCCAGUCGUGGCAGGAUCCAUCAUCUGCUGACUAAAGAGCCCUUGGUCCCUGAAUAACCAGCAGCAGUAACCAUGUAGUACACACUGUGGGUGUUGGGUGAAACUCUGAGACUUGCUGGCUUCUGGUGAGACCCAGCACCUUCCCAGCAGUGGUGGCCAUGGUGAGAGACUCCUUCUCCUUGAUAAAAGAAGAGGGAGAAGUAAAGGGGAUUUUUGUCUUAUAGUUUAGAUACCACCUUGGCCACAGUGGGGUAGAACACCAAGCAGGCUCUUGGGGUCUCUGAUUCCAGGCCUUGGCUCUUGGACAGCAUUUCUGGACCUGCUCUGGGCCAGAGGGAAGCCAACUGCCUGAAGGGUGAGUCCCAGGCCUGAAAGCAUUCACCAUAAGCUGACUGAAGAGCCCUUGGGCCUUAAGUGAACAUUGGCAGUAGCCUGGCAGUAGUCUUUGCUGGCAUGUGGUGGUGGUGGCUACAGGGUGAGACCCCUCUGCCUGUGGAAAGGGAAGAGAAGAAUGGGAAGGACUUUGUCUCACGGUUUGAGUACCAGCUUAGCUACAGUAGUGUAGAGCACCAGGUAGACUUCUAAGAUCUUUGACUCCAGUCCCUAACUCCCGGAUGGCAUCUCUGGACCUGCCUGGGGCCUGGGGGAACUCACCACCCUGAAGGGGAGGACACAAGUCUGGCUGGCUUCAUCACCUGCUAAUUGUAGAGCCCUAGGGCCUUAAGUGAACAUAGAUGGUAGCCAGGUAGUGGUUACAGUGGGCCUUGGGCAAGACUCAGUGCUGUGCUAGCUUCAGGUCUGAUGCAGCCCAGUCCCAGUGGUAAUGGCCACAGGAGUGCUUAUGUCACCCAACCCAAGCCCCAGGCAGCUCAGCACAGGGAGGGAGACUCCAUUUAUUUGGGAGAAAGUAAGGGAAGAAAACAAGAGUCUCCACUUAGUAAUCCAAAGAAUUCUUCCUGAUCAUAUCUAAGACCACCAAGGUGGUAUAUUUAUGAGUCUGCAAAAACCACAGCAUUACUGGCUUGGGGUGUUCCCUAAUGCAGAUAGGGUCUAGAACAAAACACCCAAAUCCUUUUGAAUACUUGAAAAGCCUUUGAAUACUUGAAAAGAACAGGUACAAAAAAGCCCAGGUGGUAAAGGCUACAAGAAAUACCUAACUCUUCAAUUCCCAGACACUGAUGAACAUUAACAAGCAUCAGGACCAUCCAGGAAAACAUGACCUCACCAAACAAACUAAGGCACCAGGGACCAAUCCUGGAAAAACAGAGAUAAGUGACCUUUCAGGCAGAGAAUUCAAAAUAGCUGUUUGGAAGAAACUCAAAGAAAUUCAAGAUAACAUGGAGAAGGAAUUCAGAAUUCUAUCAGAUAAAUUUAACAGAGAGAUUGAAAUAAUUAAAAAGCAGAAAUUCUGGAGUUGAAAAUGCAAUUGGCAUACUGAAGAAUGUGUCAGAAUCUCUUAAUAGCAGAAUUGAUCAAGCAAAAGAAAGAAUUAGUGAGCUUGAAGAUAGGCUAUUCAAAAGUACACAGUCAGAAGAGAUGAAGGAAAAAGGAAUAAAAAAGAAUGAAUCAUGCCUACAAGAUUUAGAAAAUAGCUUCAAAAAGGCAAAUCUAAGAAUUACUGGUCAUAAAGAGAAGGUAGAGAAAGAGAUGGGGUAGAAAGUUUAUUCAAAGGGAUAAUAAGAGAGAACUUCCCGAACCUAGAGAAAUAUAUCAAUAUCCAAGUACAAGAAGGUUAUAGAACACCAAGCAGAUUUGACCCAAAGGAGACUACUUCAAGGCAUUUAAUAGUCAAACUCCUGAAGGUCAGUGAUAAAGAAAGGAUCCAAAAAGCAGCAAGAGAAAAAUAAAUAAUAUACAAUGGAGCCACAAUACAACUGGCAGCAGACUUUUCGGUGGAAACUUUACAGGCCAGGAGAGAAUGGCAUGACAUAUCUAAAGUGCUGAAGAAAAAAAAGAACUUUUACCCUAGAAUAGUAUAUCUGGUGAAAAUAUCCUAAAAGCAUGAAGGAGAAAUAAAGAGUUUGCCAGACAAGCAAAAACUGAGGGAUUUUAUCAACACCAGACUUAUCCUACAAGAAAUGCUAAAGGAAGUACAUCAAUCAGAAAGAAAAGGAUGUUAAUGAGCAAUAAGAAAUCAUCUGAAGGUACAAAACUCACUGGUAGUAGUAAGCACACAGAAAAACACAGAAUAUCAGGCCGGGCGCGGUGGCUCAUGCCUGUAAUCCCAGCACUUUGGGAGGCCAAGGUGGGCAGAUCACGAGGUCAGGAGAUCAAGACCAUCCUGGCUAACAUGGUGAAACCCCGUCUCUACUAAAAAUACAAAAAAAUGAGCCAGGCGUGGUGGCGGGCACCUGUAGUCCCAGCUACUUGGGAGGCUGAGGCAGGAGAAUGGCAUGAACCCGGGAGGCGGAGCUUGCAGUGAGCCGAGAUCGCACCACUGCACUCCAGCCUGGGCAACAGAGCGAGACUCUGUCUCAAAAAAAAAAAAAAAAGAAAACAGAA